rnacentral:sRNA from 1 species
CUCUGGGUGGCCAGCCGUGUGUCGUUGCUUGGUUGUGCUUUUAGGGUUGUCCGGCUUGUGUGGGUGCUGAGUUUGUCGGUGCAGAGAGCUGGUUCCAGGCUGGCUUCUGAAGGCUGCAGGCAGAUUCCCGGGGAGAGGGUGACACUAUAGCGCCAGUUCUUCUUACAGUCUUGUUCUGCACUUUCUAAAAAUAUUCCUGACAAACAGCUAAUGGGCAUUUUGGCCAUUCUAUUGCCAAACUAUUGCUGCCAUUUCAAAUGGAAUGCUUCUCCUUCAAGCGUGUUCAUCUUGAUUUAUAUGAUGGGGAUAGAUUCAUCCGUUUCAUGGGACUUCACCACAGCCCACUCACCAGAGGCUCUUUGAAAACAAUCAAG